GAGAAGGGCUGAACAUAGGAACAAUGGUGUCCACCAGAUGGCUAUGUGGGGGGAGAGCUCAACCAAGGAACAGUGGUGUGCACUCUGGGGUUUCUGUCCAAGAAAGAGCCACCCUUCCAGCCCUCACCUGAAGCCAGAUGAUUCAGGUGCCCUAUGUCCCUGGCAUUUUUCAAGCUGCUGUCCCUUUGCUGGAACUUGGGGCAAAUGUUUGUGGGAAAGACUUGCCAAGUGUCAUGGCACACAGUGUGGCUUCUGCAGCCCAGGGAUGGCGAUGUCCAUCUACACGCUGCUGAGGAACCACCCAGAGCCGACCCCUGAGCAAAUAAUGGAAGCUCUUGGAGGUAAUUUGUGUCGCUGUACUGGAUACCGACCAAUUAUAGAAAGUGGAAAUACUUUCUGC